rnacentral:rRNA from 1 species
CCUACGGGUGGCAGCAGUGGGGAAUAUUGCACAAUGGGCGCAACCCUGAUCCAGCGACGCCGCGUGAGUGAAGAAGUAAUUCGUUAUGUAAAGCUCUAUCAGCAGGGAAGAAAAUGACGGUACCUGUGUAAGAUGCCCCGGCUAACUACGUUCCAGCAGCCGCGGUAAUACGUAGGGGGCAAGCGUUAUCCGGAUUUACUGGGUGUAAAGGGAGCGUAGACGGCUGUGCAAGUCUGGAGUGAAAGUCGGGGGCUCAACCCCAGGAUUGCUCUGGAAACUGUAAGGCUGGAGUUCAGGAGAGGUAGGUGGAAUUCGUGGUGUAGCGGUGAAAUGCGUAGAUAUUAGGAAGAACACCAGUGGCGAAGGCGGCUUACUGAACUGUAACUGACGUUGAGGCUCGAAAGCGUGGGGAGCAAACAGGAUUAGAUACCCCUGUAGUC